rfam:Gossypium raimondii Chr13_contig_1355, whole genome shotgun sequence.
UGUUAAAAUUUUCAUUUAUUUGUACUAUUAAAAACUGGCAUGACUGAUAGAAUAAUCAGACAGUGCCACGUGUACCUUAUGUUGAUGUACAAGGACUAAUUUUUAACUAUAGAAAUGGAUGAAUUUUUUUUACA